AUGGCGCAACUGGAGCAGCCAGGAUCAACGAACAUGACCAAGGCGUUGGAAGCUCUUUCGCCGUGGCUCGAGAACCCACGGAGCAUAGUCACGCAAGUGGAGGCACUCGUCCUCGCCGCAGCCGUGCUCCUGCUCCUCCAGCUGCUCCUCUGUUCCUGCAGGCGGCAGUCGAGCAACGCCCUCAUCCAGGGCGGCGCGUGGGUGUCCUACACCAUGUCGUUCCCUCUGGUCACCUACGCCUUGGGCAUGAUGCAGACUUCCCCGGUGAAGAAUGUCAUGUACCCCGUCUGGGCCGUCUCCUUGUUCCUGGUUGCUGGAUGCACCAACGUGGUGACAUCCUACGAUCUUGACGACAACAAGCAGUGGAAGAAGCAUCUGUUCGAGCUGUUUCAGUAUGCCCUCUACUCAGCAAUUAACAUUAAGCUGCUUUUCCCUUAUAGCACCGCAGAAAUAUUCAGUCUUGAGGCUAAAUCUAUCGAGUCUAUAUCCAUCACCCCUGUUAUCAUGAUCCUCAACUUGAUUGUGCUGCUCACAAAUUUUGUGAAAGUUAUCUCGUGCUGGAAGGUAGGCGUUGACUUCUCCACCAUACGAGUUGCUCAUUUCAUGAAGCAGCAGGCCAGAGAGGAAGGUCCUAGUGUGUUCAACCCUGAAACCAUGGAAGGCUACAAGUACCCUAUUCGCUGCGGUAGAGACGUAACAAUCGGCAUUGACGAGGUCUGGAAAUCGGAAAGCACGCUUUUCAAGUCAGGUCGUUCCACGAAACUGAAAGAUUUUUGCCUAUCAUAUGCCUUGUUUAAGCUCUUGAGACGGCAGUACCAUGGGAUGGAAUGUGCUGAAGCCGGCCUUCCUGAAACCCGUGAUUUUGUCUUGAAGGGAUUGCUGCUGAAAGAAGACGACUGGCAUAUUGCAAGGGCGUUCAGGAUUGUAGAAGUAGAAUUGGGGUUCUAUCAUGACUUUCUCUUCACCAAAUACAGUAUCAUCACUAAGUGGGAGAAAUUGUUCUUUGCAAUGUGGAUUCUGAGGAUACUUCUUAUAUCUGUUGUUUUACGCUAUGUGACCCAGAAUUCAUUGGCUGUCAUGACGAAAGCUGCUAUCAUCGAGGUGCCUACCAAGACUGCUGAUACUCUCAUUACUGUACUUGUUCUAACCAUUAUUCUCGUGGUUGAAGUUCUGCAAGCUCUGCUUUACCUGGUAUCAGACUGGGCCAAAGUAUCAUUUACCAAGAAAUAUGUCAGAAACCCUUCUUACCGGGUCAAUGCUUUUUUUCUGAAGAUUAUUGUUACCAUCAGCAAGUUUAGCAUUUUGAGUUAUUGGGCAAAACAAAUUGGACAGAGUUCGGUGAUUUCAGACAACAAAUCUUUUGCCAGACAUCUGCAGUAUGUCACAGAACGCCCUCCACACCCACUUGUGAUGUUGUUCAGCACCUCCAAUCUUGGCAAAAGGACAAACAGGGUGCGCGUGUGUAGCUUGGUCAAGGGAGCUAUGGCAAGGUCCAUUAAAAUGAGUGAAGAUCCUCUAACUAACGGCAAGUCAUCACUAGACCGCAAUGGAGUGCUGGGAGAAUUCUUGUGGGCACUGAAUGGACAAACUCAGACAGAGAUCAUGCUAAUUUGGCACAUUGCGACUGAGUACUGCGAUAUUGCUCUAACCUAUGCUGCUCUGCCUAAUGCCAAGGAAACAGAUAAAAACAUAAAGUGCCACCGUGAAGUUGCAGUCUGGUUGUCAAGAUACUGUGCAUACUUGAUAGAUUCCGCCCCAGAACUGCUUUCAGACUACAUAGAUACGGAGAUGCCCAUAGCCAUGCUGAUGCAAGAGAUGCGCAAAGCUUUCGGAAAAUGUACAUCCACGCAUGCCAAAUUUGAGGUCAUGAAGAAUUUAGAAGAGCAGGAGAAGAAGACCAUGUUCAGGCAGGGAGUGAAGCUGGGGAAGCAGCUUGAGUGCUUGGAUGCUGCUGGGCGGUGGAAGGUGAUGGAGGAAUUCUGGUCGGAGACCAUCGUCUACAUUGCACCAUCAGAUAAUGUCAACGGGCACUUGGAACGCCUUGCAAAAGGGGGAGAGUUUCUAACCCACAUCUGGGCUCUGCUAUCUCACGCUGGCAUCCGGGCGAUAAACAGGGAGCAAGAUAACAACACCAUGCCCAGCCACCCAUCCCAAGAAAAUGUGUGA
rnacentral:rRNA from 1 species